rnacentral:rRNA from 1 species
UACCAGCACCCCGAGUGGUCGGGACGUUUAUUGGGCCUAAAGCAUCCGUAGCCGGUUCUACAAGUCUUCCGUUAAAUCCAUCUGCUUAACAGAUGGGCUGCGGAAGAUACUAUAGAGCUAGGAGGCGGGAGAGGCAAGCGGUACUCGAUGGGUAGGGGUAAAAUCCGUUGAUCCAUUGAAGACCACCAGUGGCGAAGGCGGCUUGCCAGAAUGCGCUCGACGGUGAGGGAUGAAAGCUGGGGGAGCAAACCGG